UGCAACUUUUGUCUUUGGUAUUGUGUUUUCAAUGGAGGCUUGAGAUUCACGAAAUAUAGCAUUUCGGAUUCGCAACUGACUAAUCCCUAUGUAGUAUAGAAGAUUACGGAAGCACGAGGAUAAUUAUAAAAAAGGAAGAGGGGGAGGUGAGAAAGUGGUGGUGGGUGGUCCUUAAGCCUUGAAGGAAUCAAAGAAGACAUCUCACACUUGACCCCAAUUAUUAUGCCACCUUCUCUCUCACGUCUCCAUCCAUUUUCGUUGUCAUCUCUUUUUUUUCUUGAGGCUUUACUCUUCAAACGUGUCACCUCUUUAAUGGCAAAUCUUUCCUCUCUUUCAUUUGUUUUUGUAAUCCCUCAAAUUCUCGAUAGUUUUUUCUUUUUAUUGUCUUUUUCUAACAU